rnacentral:misc_RNA from 1 species
UGACACAACAUUCCAAACUAACUGGAUCAGAACAAGGAUGAUCAAAGUGUAUAUUCUAGACAACAUGAAUUUUUUUUUUUAAAUGGUAUGCAAUCCUAACACAAAACACAAUCAAUAGUAAUGGGAGUAGGUGCACAGAAAAAACCUAGAAAGAGAACGCAAUGAAUUAGUAGUGUGACUUCCUGCCAGACUUCAGAAACUAACAGAAAUUAUACAAGUGAAGCAAGUCCUGCCACCAUUACAUAGUAACAGUAAAAUGAAAUGCACAAAAUUGAAGAAUUAACAAAAUCUUAGUAUUCAUUCUAAAUAUGGUUUAACCAAUCACAUGCAGAUCAGAACUUUGCACAGGCAUCAUUCUCAAUAUUGGAACAGCUGGUCAUUGAGCCAUCAAAAUCAAGCACAAUAUGCAAAACCACAUAAAAUGUCAAAUAUCAGGAGAGAGAAAUCACACAGCAUCAGAGAAUGAGCCAGAUGCUAUCUAACAGGUGGGAGAAAAUAAAUAUUAUGUCCAAUCUUUCAACACAGGUAUUAGAUGUCUGAG